CAAUAGCGUAUAUUAAAGUUGUUGCAGUUAAAAAGCUCGUAGUUGGAUUUCUGGUGGGAGCGAUCGGUCUGGCGCUUAGCGCGAGUACUUGCAUCGUCUCCGGCCAUCCUUGGGGAGAGUCUGUCUGGCAUUAGGUUGUCGGGCAGAGGAUCCUCAUCGUUUACUGUGAAAAAAUUAGAGUGUUCAAAGCAGGCUUAUGCCGUUGAAUAUAUUAGCAUGGAAUAAUAAGAUAGGACUUUGGUACUAUUUUGUUGGUUUGCGCACCAAAGUAAUGAUUAAUAGGGACAGUUGGGGGUAUUCGUAUUCCGUUGUCAGAGGUGAAAUUCUUGGAUUUACGGAAGACGGACUACUGCGAAAGCAUUUACCAAGGGUGUUUUCAUUAA
rnacentral:rRNA from 1 species